rnacentral:rRNA from 1 species
AUUGAACGCUGGCGGCAUGCCUUACACAUGCAAGUCGAACGGCAGCACGGGUGCUUGCACCUGGUGGCGAGUGGCGAACGGGUGAGUAACAUAUCGGAACGUACCUUAUUGUGGGGGAUAACGCAGCGAAAGCUGUGCUAAUACCGCAUAAUCCCUAAGGGGAAAAGCGGGGGACCGUAAGGCCUCGCGCAAUUAGAGCGGCCGAUACCUGAUUAGCUAGUUGGUGAGGUAAAGGCUCACCAAGGCAACGAUCAGUAGCUGGUCUGAGAGGACGAUCAGCCACACUGGGACUGAGACACGGCCCAGACUCCUACGGGAGGCAGCAGUGGGGAAUUUUGGACAAUGGGGGCAACCCUGAUCCAGCAAUGCCGCGUGAGUGAAGAAGGCCUUCGGGUUGUAAAGCUCUUUUGUCAGGGAAGAAACAGCAGCUCUAACACAGUAUGCGAAUGACGGUACCUGAAGAAUAAGCACCGGCUAACUACGUGCCAGCAGCCGCCGUAA